rnacentral:rRNA from 1 species
GACGUAGGGCGCGAGCGUUGUCCGGAUUUAUUGGGCGUAAAGAGCUCGUAGGCGGCUUGUCGCGUCGUUCGUGAAAACCUGCAGCUCAACUGCAGGCUUGCGGUCGAUACGGGCAGGCUGGAGUUCGGUAGGGGAGACUGGAAUUCCUGGUGUAGCGGUGAAAUGCGCAGAUAUCAGGAGGAACACCGGUGGCGAAGGCGGGACUCUGGGCCGAUACUGACGCUGAGGAGCGAAAGCGUGGGGAGCGAACAGG